AUUGAACGCUGGCGGCAUGCCUUACACAUGCAAGUCGAACGGCAGCACGGGAGUAAUCCUGGUGGCGAGUGGCGAACGGGUGAGUAAUAUAUCGGAACGUGCCUAGUUGUGGGGGAUAACGCAGCGAAAGCUGUGCUAAUACCGCAUACGAUCUAUGGAUGAAAGCGGGGGAUCGCAAGACCUCGCGCAAUUAGAGCGGCCGAUAUCAGAUUAGCUAGUUGGUGGGGUAAAAGCCCACCAAGGCGACGAUCUGUAGCUGGUCUGAGAGGACAACCAGCCACACUGGAACUGAGACACGGUCCAGACUCCUACGGGAGGCAGCAGUGGGGAAUUUUGGACAAUGGGCGCAAGCCUGAUCCAGCAAUGCCGCGUGCAGGAUGAAGGCCUUCGGGUUGUAAACUGCUUUUGUACGGAGCGAAAAGGUUCUUUUUAAUACAGAGAGCUCAUGACGGUACCGUAAGAAUAAGCACCGGCUAACUACGUGCCAGCCGCCGCAGUAAAAC
rnacentral:rRNA from 1 species